rnacentral:tRNA from 1 species
AAGGAGAAGAACGUUGACCUGCUACCUCAACACCCCAAACCUAACCAUUUGGCCCCCU